rnacentral:rRNA from 1 species
GACGAACGCUGGCGGCGUGCUUAACACAUGCAAGUCGAACGGAAAGGCCCUGCUUUUGUGGGGUGCUCGAGUGGCGAACGGGUGAGUAACACGUGAGUAACCUGCCCUUGACUUUGGGAUAACUUCAGGAAACUGGGGCUAAUACCGGAUAGGAGCUCCUGCUGCAUGGAGGGGGGUGGAAAGUUUCGGCGGUUGGGGAUGGACUCGCGGCUUAUCAGCUAGUUGGUGGGGGAGUGGCUUACCAAGGCUUUGACGGGUAGCCGGCCUGAGAGGGUGACCGGGGACAUGGGGACUGAGAGAGGGCGCAGACGCCUAUGGGAGGCAGAAGUGGGGAAUAUUGCACAAUGGGCCGAAGUCUGAGGCAGAAACGCCGCGUGUGGGAUGACGGCCUGUGGGGUGUAAAACGCUUUCGCCUGUGACGAAGCGGGAGUGACGGUAAUCGGUAAAGAAGCACCGGCUAACUACGUG